rnacentral:rRNA from 1 species
UACGGGAGGCAGCAGUGAGGAAUAUUGGUCAAUGGGCGAGAGCCUGAACCAGCCAAGUAGCGUGCAGGAUGACGGCCCUAUGGGUUGUAAACUGCUUUUAUAAGGGAAUAAAGUGAGUCUCGUGAGACUUUUUGCAUGUACCUUAUGAAUAAGGACCGGCUAAUUCCGUGCCAGCAGCCGCGGUAAUACGGAAGGUCCGGGCGUUAUCCGGAUUUAUUGGGUUUAAAGGGAGCGUAGGCCGGAGAUUAAGCGUGUUGUGAAAUGUAGACGCUCAACGUCUGCACUGCAGCGCGAACUGGUUUCCUUGAGUACGCACAAAGUGGGCGGAAUUCGUGGUGUAGCGGUGAAAUGCUUAGAUAUCACGAAGAACUCCGAUUGCGAAGGCAGCUCACUGGAGCGCAACUGACGCUGAAGCUCGAAAGUGCGGGUAUCGAACAGGAUUAGAUACCCUGGUAGUCCGCGCGGUAAACGAUGGAUGCCCGCUGUUUGCCAAUUUGGUAAGCGGCCAAGCGAAAGCGUUAAGCAUCCC